rnacentral:rRNA from 1 species
GACGAACGCUGGCGGCGUGCUUAACACAUGCAAGUCGAGCGGUAAGGCCCUUCGGGUACACGAGCGGCGAACGGGUGAGUAACACGUGGGUGACCUGCCUCUAGCUCUGGGAUAAGCCUGGGAAACUGGGUCUAAUACCGGAUAUGACUCCACGGCGCAUGUUGUGGGGUGGAAAGCCUUGUGUGGCUAGAGAUGGGCCCGCGGCCUAUCAGCUUGUUGGUGGGGNGAUGGCCUACCAAGGCGACGACGGGUAGCCGGCCUGAGAGGGCGACCGGCCACACUGGGACUGAGACACGGCCCAGACUCCUACGGGAGGCAGCAGUGGGGAAUCUUGCGCAAUGGGCGAAAGCCUGACGC